ensembl:miRNA
GUCCCUGGGGGCUGGGAUGGGCCAUGGUGUGCUCUGAUCCCCCUGUGGUCUCUUGGCCCCUAGGAACUCC